ensembl:lncRNA
UAGAGAACCUUUAAAUGCAGGUAUAUAAAAUAUUCCAUGUACAAAGAAUUCUUUUAAUACCCCAUGUGUUUUACAUAACUGAUGGUGCAAGUACAUUUUAUAACUUUUAACUUUUAACUUUCACUGUUCUGUAGUGCAUCAACAGAAGUAGUUUGACUGAACCGCUGACAGGUCUUUAAAUUUCACAUUUGUGCGAGCUGGAAAGACGAAGUCACAACAACGUACAGCUGGAUAUAAAAGACUUAAGAGGCAACACGUCGUACAUACACUAGAUGGCACCACGCCUACACAAGUGUCCACAUGCUGGACAUUAAGCAGCACCAAAAAGGUAGACCAAAGAGAUUAAAAAUAAAUAUUUAUUCUUUUUAAAACAGCAAAUAUCCACAGGACAACAGCUGCAUCUGUUUGGAGGAAGAGCAAUGUCAGAAACAGUGUUCAAGCGAAUGGAAGAUUAGGAAGUAAUCAUUUUUCCCAGCCGGAUCCUCUUCCACACGGCUUUGGGAUGAACACGCCGGACUGGCUUGUAUGAUGCCGAUGGUUGCUGGGGGGCCGCGAAGGCCUGCUGCGGCACCGAGGGACGCUGGGGGGGCAGGUAGGCCUGCCCUGGCACUACCGGGUGUGGGGGGUCCAGGUAGAUCUGCUGCGGCACCGAGGGACGCUGGGGGGGCAGGUAGGCCUGCCCUGGCACUACCGGGUGUGGGGGGUCCAGGUAGAUCUGCUGCGGCACAGAGGGACGCAGGGGGUCCAGGUAGGCCUUCCCCGGCGCUAAUGGGCGCAGGGGGUCCAGGUAGAUCUGCUGCGGCACAGAGGGACGCAGGGGGUCCAGGUAGGCCUUCCCCGGCGCUAAUGGACGCAGGGGGUCCAGGUAGGCCUGCCCCGGCGCUGAGGGACGCUGAGGGAACAGGUAGGCCUUCCCCGGCGCUAACGGGCGCUGGGGUUCCAGGUAGAUCUGCUGCGGCACCGAGGGACGCUGAGGGAACAGGUAGAUCUGCUGCGGCGCUGAGGGACGCUGAGGGUCCACGUAUUCCUGCUGCCGUACAGGCUGGCGCCCGGGAGCCCUGCCGGUCGGCUUACUGUAUAUCACGCUCUCCUUCUCAGCGGGUUCCUUCAGUUGUAUGAUGGCGUGGCCACCGAAGCGCUCGGGGAUGGAGAUGGGUCCGAAGUGCUGCGCAGAGGUCCUGGACGCAGGGAGGUCACGGGCGCCCUGCGCCGGGUUACUGCCGCGCCAGGGGGUUUUGCGGUAGAUCUUACUGCCGGGCCUCUGCUUGGAGAAGCUCGUUGUUCCACUGGCUUCGUUGGACGCCGUAGACUGGCUGUGACGUUGGGGGAUAAAGGUGACGUGGGGCGCUGAAGCAGGCGUGUAGCUUUGUUGGGCUUGUCCUGCCUUCAUAGGGACCUCUGGGUGUUGGUUUCCAGCCUCCGGCCAACUCGGGAUAUUUCCAUUUCUCUCACUUGUUGGUGAGGACAAACGGGUCGGGUUAGAUGCCUCAGAGCCCAGACGCGAAGACACCAGUGUGGCGAACGCGCUGGCCGAUGUCGCCGUGCGACCAGGGAUUUGGUUUAGCAGAGCAGCAUCUAUGUCAGCAUCCAUGUCCAACAGGCUCAACGGAUAGUUGCCAGUACUCGGUGUAUUUGACCAAGUUCCCCUGCUAAUGGUAGUUUGAUGGUGCGUUUCAAAUGAACCACCACCAAUAAGAGCAGUAGAAAGGCCAAAUAUUUGCAGUGGCAUAGUUUCCUGAUUCAAGUUGGGUUUUGACUCAGAGCUGCUCUGCACCAACCCGGCAAAAACGCUGCUUGGUCUCGGAGCUGCAGGAGAAAACAAAAAACGCAUUAAUGCACAACCAAUACAUCACACCAAUAACUGAAGAGAACGGUGUUGCUCACCUUUCG